CCAAUAGCGUAUAUUAAAGUUGUUGCAGUUAAAAAGCUCGUAGUUGAAUUUCGGGAUCAAUGUUUUGGUCAUGCCGUUGGUAUGUACUGAUAUUAUUGGUUUCUCACCUUCUAAAGAACCGUAAUGCCAUUAAUUUGGUGUCACGGGGAAUUAGGACUGUUACCUUGAAAAAAUUAGAGUGUUUAAAGCAGGCUCACGCUUGAAUACAUUAGCAUGGAAUAAUGAAAUAGGACAUCCGAUUCUAUUUUGUUGGUUUCUAGGAUCGAUGUAAUGAUUAAUAGGGAUAGUUGGGGGCAUUAGUAUUCAAUUGUCAGAGGUGAAAUUCUUGGAUUUAUUGAAGACUAACUACUGCGAAAGCAUUUGCCAAGGAUGUUUUCAUUAAUCAAGAACGAAAGUUAGGGGAUCGAAGACGAUCAGAUACCGUCGUAGUCUUAACCAUAAACUAUGCCGACUAGGGAUCGGAUGAUGUUAAUUUUUUAAUGACUCAUUCGGCGCCUUACG
rnacentral:rRNA from 1 species